AUUGAACGCUGGCGGCAGGCAUAACACAUGCAAGUCGAGCGAGCGGCGGACGGGUGAGUAAUGUCUGUGAAACUGCCUGAUGGAGGGGGAGAACUACUGGAAACGGUAGCUAAUACCGCACACCAUCAGAUGUGCCCAGGUGGGAUUAGCUAGUAGGUGGGGUAACGGCUCACCUAGGCGACGAUCCCUAGCUGGUCUGAGAGGAUGACCAGCCACACUGGAACUGAGACACGGUCCAGACUCCUACGGGAGGCAACAGUGGGGAAUAUUGCACAAUGGGCGCAAGCCUGAUGCAGCCAUGCCGCGUGUGUGAAGAAGGCCUUCGGGUUGUAAAGCACUUUCAGCGGGGAGGCGUUACCCGCAGAAGAAGCACCGGCUAACUCCGUGCCAGCAGCCGCGGUAAUUC
rnacentral:rRNA from 1 species